rnacentral:rRNA from 1 species
UACAGAGGUCUCAACCGUUGUUCGGAUUCAUUGGGCGUAAAGGGUGCGUAGGCGGUCGGGUAAGUCGGAUGUGAAAUCUCAGGGCUCAACCCUGAAACUGCAUUCGAUACUGCCUGGCUAGGGUACUGGAGAGGAGACUGGAAUUUACGGUGUAGCAGUGAAAUGCGUAGAUAUCGUAAGGAAGACCAGUGGCGAAGGCGGCAUCCUGGACCGGCAUUGACGCUGAGGAGCGAAAGUGUGGGGAGCGAACAGG